UGCAAGUCGAGCGGAUCUUUAGGAGCUUGCUCCUGAAGAUUAGCGGCGGACGGGUGAGUAACACGUGGGCAACCUGCCUGUAAGACUGGGAUAACUUCGGGAAACCGGAGCUAAUACCGGAUAAUUCCUUUCUUCACAUGAAGGAAGGCUGAAAGACGGCGUAAGCUGUCACUUAUAGAUGGGCCCGCGGCGCAUUAGCUAGUUGGUGAGGUAAUGGCUCACCAAGGCGACGAUGCGUAGCCGACCUGAGAGGGUGAUCGGCCACAUUGGGACUGAGACACGGCCCAAACUCCUACGGGAGGCAGCAGUAGGGAAUCUUCCGCAAUGGACGAAAGUCUGACGGAGCAACGCCGCGUGAGUGAUGAAGGUUUUCGGAUCGUAAAACUCUGUUGUUAGGGAAGAACAAGUAUCGGAGUGAUUGCCGGUACCUUGACGGUACCUAACCAGAAAGCCACGGCUAACUACGUGCCAGCAGCCGCGGUAAUACGUAGGUGGCAAGCGUUGUCCGGAAUUAUUGGGCGUAAAGCGCGCGCAGGCGGUCCUUUAAGUCUGAUGUGAAAUCUCGCGGCUCAACCGCGAGCGGUCAUUGGAAACUGGGGGACUUGAGUGCAGAAGAGGAAAGCGGAAUUCCACGUGUAGCGGUGAAAUGCGUAGAGAUGUGGAGGAACACCAGUGGCGAANGCGGCUUUCUGGUCUGUAACUGACGCUGAGGCGCGA
rnacentral:rRNA from 1 species